CGGGGUAAUGGUGGCUAAGGAAUGAGACACGUAGAGGAGGAGUCUACUGAGAAAGUCGCUCAGUCCUUUCCCCUUAAAGAAAAAAAAAACAGCAAGGUGUUUAACUGGCUGAAAAUUGUGUUUGUGAACAAUGCAGUAUGCCAGAAACCAACAUUCCGCUGAUAUCUCCCAUUACAAUUAUACAGUCUGAACGUGAGUAGGCAUUCUAGCAUUGCAUCCUCUCACACUAGCUCUGUUUGAACAGCGGUCUUGAACUGUAAUAAUGCUGUAGUCAUCCAUGCAUGCAAUAGAGCCUAAAGGUUAAAGGUAACCAUUGUUAGCCGGAUUUGCAUAUCCCUACCCAGAACCCUUUGCGUUAAGUGUAAGCUCUGUAUUCUGAGGAUAUCUGUGUAAGAAAAAACUAUGCCAAUUCAGCAACGAUGCGAUUGUGCUCGUCGACUCUCUACUAACCUAUGCGUAGUUUGAUUGCAUAGGAUUUCACUCACCACAGCGACUGUAUGUUAAAUAGCCAGGCUGUAUUAAUACAGUUUAACUGGUCAGAUACAUCCAGAGACGUACAGAGAUUGUACUGCAUUAUGCCAGUGGGUUAGUAAAGUUCAACCCUAUCUACGUCUGGUAUACUGGCAGCUAUUAUUUAUUAAGUACCUUUUUGACAUUCUCAUUACCUUUAAAAUGUCCAGCAUUGUCAUAGGGAAAAGGCGUAGAGCCAUGAGUUGUGUUUACCUAAAGAAUUGUAGAUACCUGGAAUGUCCAUUCAGCUGAGAUGGUAGGGGUAGAAUUACCUUUAUAUAAACUAGAAAAAAUAUAUAUAUCUAAAUAAUUUAAAUAGGUACCCUGAGAAAGGAAAAUAUGAAUUUAAAGGGGCACAUAGCAUGGACUAUGGAGUCUAAUCUACUUUGAUAUUCUGUAUGUUUAUAUGAUUUACACUGAGAUGAUAUAAUCAAUGUCCAAAUAACCACAAGGCUGCCAAUUAAACUGAAGGAAACAACGAUUGAUGCACCUGUGCACAAGCAGGGAGACCAUUAAAGCAGCACUGUCAUCCCAAACAUGCCUUUCUCCAGUUGUUUCCUCUCUCCAAAUUUGUUCAUCCUUUCUGACCUUUUUCUUGUAAAAUACAUAAGUCAAAGUAGGAACUACUUUGUCUUAAGAAUUUUACCGACGCCUGACAAAUCUUGGAUGGAACUUACCCAAGCACCAAUUUCUUUGUCAUAAUUUGCUAAAUUAAAUUCCACAAGUUUCACAUGCCUGUGGCAUCCUUCCUCUCUAAUCCUGCCUUCUCUGUACUUUCUGUAGCGUUACAAGUAUGUUACAAAACAGUGAAAAACCUGUGAAAAACUACGAAUGCAUGACUGCCAGGAUCCCCUGACAUGGCGGCUUGGAACAGACUAAAGAAUUAGUAUGAAUAUAGAAUAAGAAGAUAAAAACUGAUUAAAUGCAUUUUAAAAAAUUGUGCAUGGAGGGACAUGAAAAAAUGUGAUUUGCCCCAUGACAGUGGCAAUUUAAAAAAAAGUAAUGUCACUUCCAGAAUUUCUGUUAUUAGUUUUACUUAUCCCUAUUUUAAAAAAUUAAUAUGUAUCUUUUAGAUGAGAAAAAUAAAAAUAAAUGUAGAAAUUAAAACUCUAUGACCUGCAAUUGGGAGCCGCUGUCUUACCUACCUGUCAAUCAUUGUGUCAAACUCUGUUCUUUGUACGUGACAGUCAGCAUACAGGGAAGAGGAGAAAUUAAACAAUGUUUCUAUUUUCCUCUUCAUCUGCAAUGUUUGCCCUGGUUUUGCCUGGUCUAAAAUGGUUUGUUCGUUAUUAAGAUGUCUAUAUUUUCCCCUUUAAAGAGGUAGAAUACAAUAUCAUUUCUAUGUAACAAAGUCCACAUAAAAAGGUCUCCUGAAGGACAGAGGUUUAAGAGCUUGGAAUUAGAGGUUUAUAGCUUAACUUUUUUAAAUUUAGAUUUCGAACAGCAAAACUAUUUUUAUUUUUGCUGAAUGCCUAAAUAGAACAUCUAAUUGCAGACAUAUCUGGUAAGAGGAGCACUGUUUAAUUAAAAAAGAGACUACAUUUAAAAACAAUAAAUCGUUUUGACGUCAACUUUCUUUCAGAAGCGAGAUGAGUUCCUUACUGCUGGAUUGGCAAAGAGAUCCCGUCUCUCAAUGGUCCAGCACUUUGAGUCCUCUUCACUAAAGAUA